CUGACAAUGUCUCGGAUCUUGAAAGCUCAAACAACAGAAGCAAAGCUGUAUCCCGAAUGGACCUAUGACUACUUGAUAGUAGAUUGAUUAUUCUUGACACGUCCAAUUGGUUACAGAUCGUUACCUGCAUAAGAACAAAGAGUAUUUAUGAAUGUGCAUAAAUGCACAAGAAAGCGGAAGCAAGACUUGUGGGUGUUCAGUCUCAAUUAAAUCGUAGCCUAAUGAACACAAGCCAGGGACUGAUAACUAACAAAGGUCUUUGAUUGCCUCAAGCACCAUAUCAUCUGAACUGGCUAAAGACAGUGCAGCCCUGGUGACUUUGAUUGUUGCUAUCUCAUUGCGCUCCUUCCAUUUUUCUAUUGUAGACUUCAGAGCUCUGUUGGAAUUGAAAG